GUGCUCAUUUCUGCAGCACAUAUACUAAAAUUUUGAAGGUUACGGAGAUUAGCAUGGCCACUGGGCAAGGAUGACACACAAAUUCAUGAAGCGUUCCAUAUUGGG
ensembl:snRNA U6 U6 spliceosomal RNA